rnacentral:rRNA from 1 species
UGACCUCGAAUCAGGUAGGAA